UGGGUAACCUGCCUCAAAAGAGGGGAAUAGCCUCCCCGAAAGGGAGAUUAAUACCGCAUAAUAUGUUUAGGUCGCAUGACUUUAACAUCAAAGGUAUUUUUCUUUUUAAGAAAUUUCCACUUUGAGAUGGACCCGCGGCGCAUUAGCUAGUUGGUGAGGUAACGGCUCACCAAGGCAACGAUGCGUAGCCGACCUGAGAGGGCGACCCGGCCACACGUGGGACUGAGAUACCGGCCCAGACUCCGUACGGGAGCAG
rnacentral:rRNA from 1 species